UACCAGCACCCCGAGUGGCCGGGACGUUUAUUGGGCCUAAAGCAUCCGUAGCCGGUUCUACAAGUCUUCCGUUAAAUCCAUCUGCUUAACAGAUGGGCUGCGGAAGAUACUAUAGAGCUAGGAGGCGGGAGAGGCAAGCGGUACUCGAUGGGUAGGGGUAAAAUCCGUUGAUCCAUUGAAGACCACCAGUGGCGAAGGCGGCUUGCCAGAACGCGCUCGACGGUGAGGGAUGAAAGCUGGGGGAGCAAACCGG
rnacentral:rRNA from 1 species